CCUACGGGUGGCAGCAGUGAGGAAUAUUGGUCAAUGGCCGGAAGGCUGAACCAGCCAAGCCGCGUGAAGGACGAAGGUGCCAAGCAUUGUAAACUUCUUUUGUCAAGGGACAAAAUCAGGCUCGAGAGCCUGACCGAGGGUACUUGAAGAAAAAGCAUCGGCUAACACCGUGCCAGCAGCCGCGGUAAUACGGGGGAUGCGAGCGUUAUCCGGUUUUAUUGGGUUUAAAGGGUGCGUAGGGGGACUGUUAAGUCAGAGGUAAAAGCCCGGGGCUAAACCCCGGCGAGCCGUUGAAACUGGGUGUCUUGAGUUGUCGAGAGGAAUGCGGAAUG
rnacentral:rRNA from 1 species